AUUUAUAUAGUUUAUUAAAACAUUACAUUUUCACUGUAAAGAUAUAAAACUUCUUUUUUAUAAAU
rnacentral:tRNA from 1 species